GAGUUUGAACCUGGCUCAGGAUGAACGCUGGCGGCGUGCCUAAUACAUGCAAGUCGAGCGAACCACUUCGGUGGUGAGCGGCGAACGGGUGAGUAACACGUAGGUGAUCUGCCCAUCAGACGGGGACAACGAUUGGAAACGAUCGCUAAUACCGGAUAGGACGAAAGUUUAAAGGUGCUUCUGGCACCGCUGAUGGAUGAGCCUGCGGCGCAUUAGCUAGUUGGUAGGGUAAAGGCCUACCAAGGCGACGAUGCGUAGCCGACCUGAGAGGGUGAACGGCCGCACUGGGACUGAGACACGGCCCAGACUCCUACGGGAGGCAGCAGUAGGGAAUCUUCGGCAAUGGGCGAAAGCCUGACCGAGCAACGCCGCGUGAAUGAUGAAGGCCUUCGGGUUGUAAAAUUCUGUUAUAAGGGAAGAACGACUUUAGUAGGAAAUGGCUAGAGUGUGACGGUACCUUAUGAGAAAGCCACGGCUAACUACGUGCCAGCAGCCGCGGUAAUACGUAGGUGGCGAGCGUUAUCCGGAAUUAUUGGGCGUAAAGAGCGCGCAGGUGGUUGAUUAAGUCUGAUGUGAAAGCCCACGGCUUAACCGUGGAGGGUCAUUGGAAACUGGUCGACUUGAGUGCAGAA
rnacentral:rRNA from 1 species